GAUGAAGAACGUAGCGAAAUGCGAUAAGUAAUGUGAAUUGCAGAAUUCAGUGAAUCAUCGAGUCUUUGAACGCACAUUGCGCCCCCUGGUAUUCCGGGGGGCAUGCCUGUCCGAGCGUCAUUGCUGCCCUCAAGCACGGCUUGUGUGUUGGGCCCCCGUCCCCGGUUCUCCCCGGGGACGGGCCCGAAAGGCAGCGGCGGCACCGCGUCCGAUCCUCGAGCGUAUGGGGCUUUGUCACCCGCUCUGUAGGCCCGGCCGGCGCCAGCCGACACCCCAACUUUAUUUUCUAAGGUUGACCUCGGAUCAGGUAGGGAUACCCGCUGAACUUAAGCAUAUCAAUAAGCGAGGA
rnacentral:misc_RNA from 1 species